UGGACUCAAACUUGAUCCAAGGGUGGUGGACAUUUGAUCUUGAAUCAGACUUAUCAUUUCUUCAAGGGCCGUUGAGGCUUGAUCUUGAAUGAAACGAGACCACGAGGAGCUUCACAUGGUGGGUGGUCUUCCGCUUUGGUGUGGAUGAACCGGUACGUAUUUGUUAUGCUUGUUGAUUUUCCAUGAGCUUGAUGAAGAGCACGAGUGUUUAAAUUUGGAUUUGGUUGUGGUUGACCGGUUGUGUGCUUUUUGGGAUCUGGAACUACUUUAUGCCAUUUUGGUUGAUGUAGCAAUUAACAUGAAUUUGAUCCAUUAACUUGACAUGGUUCCCAUCCAUGAAAUUGUUUAAGUGGUUCAAAUCUGUCUCCACACCCUUUUAAUGUGAACCGUAGUAUGCUUCCGUCAUGUUAUUUCGUCGUUGGCCCAACUUGAUUCAUAUGUCCCAAAGAAACCACACGAGUUCAAAUUGGCAAGCUGUAAAUUUUUCUGCCUUCACACAGGCAACAUGCCCACUUAAUUUGGGAGUUUGUUUUGCAACUAGCUUCUUUCUUCUUCUCUUUGAAAACUUGAAUUUUCCAAGUCUAAUUAAGACUUCAAGUGGUCUGGGAAAAAAAAAAACCAUAUUUUACCUUUCCACCUCUUGAAUUUGCAUGCGGCAAACUCUUGUCUUCUCUUUGCAAUUCCAUCCCUAAUUUAGAUUAGGAAUUAUGAGGAGAACUUUAGAACUGAAGUCAGCAGCUUUUCCUUUUGUUUGUCUUUUAUUGCAAUCCUCCCAGACUAUUGAAUCAACUUCUUUUUUUAGUUCCUAGUACACAUAGGCUAUUAAAGCUGCGAAGUCUAAGCACAAAGCUGCUACAUUAUCGCCGUCUCGAGCACUGAACAAAACUUUCCUUAAGGAAAACUUGUUUCUUUUUGUUCUUUUCUUUUUGCUUCGGUCUUCUGCGUGGAUUUUAUGUGACUUAG
rnacentral:lncRNA from 1 species